AAUGAACGUUGGCGGCGUGGAUUAGGCAUGCAAGUCGCGCGAGAAGUCAUUUAGCUUGCUAAAAGACGGACAGCGGCGGAAGGGAGAGUAACGUGUGGUUAUGUACCCUCGAGACCGGGAUAGUGUCGGGAAACUGGCAGUAAUACCGGAUAAGAUCUUCGGAUCAAAUGGCGUGAUUCCGCUCGAGGAUCGGCCCGCGUACUAUUAGCUAGUUGGAGGGGUAAUGGCCCACCAAGGCUUAGAUGGUUACCGGGUGUGAGAGCAUGGCCCGGCUCACUGGGACUGAGACACUGCCCAGACAUCUACGGAUGGCUGCAGUCGAGAAUCUUCGGCAAUGGACGAAAGUCUGACCGAGCGACGCCGCGUGCGGGAUGAAGGCCUUCGGGUUGUAAACCGCUGUCAGUUAGGAGGAAAUCCAUGAGGGUUCUCUCUCAUGGUUGACCGAUUUUCAGAGGAAGGACGGGCUAAGUUCGUGCCAGCCGCCGCGGUAAGAC
rnacentral:rRNA from 1 species